rnacentral:rRNA from 1 species
GGCUCAGGAUGAACGCUGGCGGCAGGCUUAAUACAUGCAAGUUGAACGGUAACAUGUUGUAGCAAUACGAUGAUGACGAGUGGCGCACGGGUGCGUAACACGUGUGUAACCUACCUUAUACAGGAACAUAACGUUGAGAAAUCGGCGCUAACAUUCCAUAAUAUUAUUUGUAGGCAUCUAUGAAUAAUUAAAACUCCGGUGGUAUAAGAUGGGCACGCGUUCCAUUAGCUAGUUGGUAAGGUAACGGCUUACCAAGGCAACGAUGGAUAGGGGUUCUGAGAGGAUAAUCCCCCACACUGGAACUGAGACACGGUCCAGACUCCUACGGGAGGCAGCAGUAAGGAAUAUUGGGCAAUGGAGGCAACUCUGACCCAGCCAUGCCGCGUGCAGGAAGACGGCCCUAUGGGUUGUAAACUGCUUUUAAUAGGGAUUAAAUUCAACUACGUGUAGUUGUUUGCAAGUACCUAUAGAAUAAGCAUCGGCUAACUCCGUGCCAGCAGCCGCGGUAAUACGGAGGAUGCAAGCGUUAUCCGGAUUUAUUGGGUUUAAAGGGUGCGCAGGCGGACUAAUAAGUCAGUGGUGAAAUUUACAUGCUUAACAUGUGACGUGCCAUUGAUACUGUUAGACUAGUAUACAAAUGACGUAGCUGGAAUGUGUUAUGUAGCGGUGAAAUGCAUAGAUAUAACACAGAACACCGAUCGUGAAGACAGGUUACGAAUUUGUGAUAGACGCUCAUGCACGAAAGCGUGGGGAUCAAACAGGAUUAGAUACCCUGGUAGUCCACGCUGUAAACGAUGAUAACUUGUUGUUGGGCACAUAGUGCUCAGUGGCUAAGCGAAAGCGAUAAGUUAUCCACCUGGGGAGUACGAUCGCAAGGUUGAAAC